GGCUGUUGAGGCGAGAGGUCAGGGCGGCACUUAAUCCGGGAGAAACCCCAGAGGGCGGUAAGUUGGAUGUUUCCGCAACUUUGGUGUCCUUCGAAAGAAUCCCACUAUCGGUGAAAAUGUCCUUCAGCUCGCCACUUUCAUGCAUAGCAACUGCAAUGUCGCAACCACCAACAAGCUCGCCCUUACAGAAGAGUUGGGGGAAGGUUGGCCAGUUGGAGAACUUCUUCAUACCUUCACGUACUUCGCUAUCCAUGAGUAUGUCGAAGCUUCCAAAUUCAACUCCUUCGUCCUUUAAGAUAUCAAC
rnacentral:misc_RNA from 1 species